rnacentral:rRNA from 1 species
GACGAACGCUGGCGGCGUGCUUAACACAUGCAAGUCGAACGGAAAGGCCCUGCUUGCAGGGUGCUCGAGUGGCGAACGGGUGAGUAACACGUGGGUGAUCUGCCCCUUACUUUGGGAUAAGCCUGGGAAACUGGGUCUAAUACUGGAUAGGACCAUGCUGUAGGUGGUGUGGUGGAAAGAUUAGUUUCGGUAAGGGAUGAGCUCGCGGCCUAUCAGCUUGUUGGUGGGGUAAUGGCCUACCAAGGCGUCGACGGGUAGCCGGCCUGAGAGGGUGGACGGCCACAUUGGGACUGAGAUACGGCCCAGACUCCUACGGGAGGCAGCAGUGGGGAAUAUUGCACAAUGGGCGCAAGCCUGAUGCAGCGACGCCGCGUGGGGGAUGACGGCCUUCGGGUUGUAAACUCCUUUCAGCCAUGACGAAGCCCUUGUGGUGACGGUAGGGGUAGAAGAAGCACCGGCUAACUACGUGC